rnacentral:rRNA from 1 species
GAUGAACGCUGGCGGCGUGCCUAAUACAUGCAAGUCGAGCGAACAGACGAGGAGCUUGCUCCUCUGACGUUAGCGGCGGACGGGUGAGUAACACGUGGAUAACCUACCUAUAAGACUGGGAUAACUUCGGGAAACCGGAGCUAAUACCGGAUAAUAUAUUGAACCGCAUGGUUCAAUAGUGAAAGACGGUUUUGCUGUCACUUAUAGAUGGAUCCGCGCCGCAUUAGCUAGUUGGUAAGGUAACGGCUUACCAAGGCAACGAUGCGUAGCCGACCUGAGGGGGGGAUGGGCACACUGGGAAGGGAAACACGGCCCAACACCCAAGGGGGGGAAGCAGAGGGAAGUUUUCGGAAAGGGGGAAAAGCUUAAGGGGGAAACGCGGGGGGGGGAAGAAAGGCUUUGGGUUGGAAAACCUUUUUUUUAGGGAAAAAAAAAAGGGGAAAGAAACUAGGACAGUUUGGACGGUACUUAAGAAAAAACCACGGGUAAACAACGG